rnacentral:rRNA from 1 species
AUACGAAGGGUGCAAGCGUUAAUCGGAAUUACUGGGCGUAAAGCGUGCGUAGGCGGUUUGUUAAGUCUGCUGUGAAAUCCCCCGGGCUCAACCUGGGAAUGGCAGUGGAUACUGGCAAGCUAGAGUGUGUCAGAGGGUGGUGGAAUUCCCGGUGUAGCGGUGAAAUGCGUAGAGAUCGGGAGGAACAUCAGUGGCGAAGGCGGCCACCUGGGACAACACUGACGCUGAGGCACGAAAGCGUGGGGAGC